GGAGAAGCCCUGACAAAACGACAUCGGACGGGGGUUCAAUUCCCCCCAUCUCCACC
rnacentral:tmRNA from 1 species